rnacentral:rRNA from 1 species
UGCAACGCGAAGAACCUUACCAAGGCUUGACAUAUAGAGGAAACGUGCAGAAAUGUACGCCCCGCAAGGUCUCUAUACAGGUGGUGCAUGGUUGUCGUCAGCUCGUGUCGUGAGAUGUUGGGUUAAGUCCCGCAACGAGCGCAACCCUCGUCCUAUGUUGCCAGCACGUAAAGGUGGGAACUCAUGGGAGACUGCCGGGGUCAACUCGGAGGAAGGUGGGGAUGACGUCAAAUCAUCAUGCCCCUUAUGUCUUGGGCUUCACGCAUGCUACAAUGGCCAGUACAAAGGGCUGCAAUACCGUAAGGUGGAGCGAAUCCCAAAAAGCUGGUCUCAGUUCGGAUUGAGGUCUGCAACUCGACCUCAUGAAGUCGGAGUCGCUAGUAAUCGCA